AGAGUUUGAUCAUGGCUCAGAGUGAACGCUGGCGGCGUGCCUAACACAUGCAAGUCGAACGAGAACGGAUAUAAGUUUACUUAUAUUGUCAGCUAAGUGGCGCACGGGUGAGUAAUAUAUAGUUAAUCUGCCCUGAAGAAGAGAAUAAUUGUUGGAAACGACUUGUAAUGCUCUAUAUGCCUUUAUCACAUAAGUGAGCAAGGGAAAUAUUUAUAGCUUCGGGAUGAGACUGUACGGUAUCAGCUAGUUGGUGAGGUAAUGGCUCACCAAGGCUAUGACAUCUAACUGGUUUGAGAGGAUGAUCAGUCACACUGGAACUGAGACACGGUCCAGACUCCUACGGGAGGCAGCAGUGGGGAAUAUUGCACAAUGGAGGAAACUCUGAUGCAGCAACGCCGCGUGGAGGAUGACACAUUUCGGUGCGUAAACUCCUUUUAUUAGGGAAGAUAAUGACGGUACCUAAUGAAUAAGCACCGGCUAACUCCGUGCCAGCAGCCGCGGUAAUACGGGGGGUGCAAGCGUUACUCGGAAUCACUGGGCGUAAAGAGCAUGUAGGCUGAUUAAGUAAGUUGGAAGUGAAAUCCUAUGGCUCAA
rnacentral:rRNA from 1 species